UCUGGAUGCCGUUUGUAAAGGCUUUUCUGGUAACAGAAACUUGGUCAGAUAAGGAAUGAUGCUUGAAAAGAAAGAAGGAAAGAAGAAAGAAAGGAAGGAAAAAGAAAGAAAGAAAGAAAGAUAGAAAGAAAGAAAGAAAGAAUGAAUUAGGCAUUAUGUAAAAUAAUGCCAGGCUGAUGUGAACGAUCCUGUAAAUUUUAAACACCAAAUAAAUAGAUGUAUGCAAAAGCAUUUUAACUUAA